GGAAGGACACUGUGUGUCGUGUGAAUAGCGGGGUAGCCAAGAUAAACAUGGGUAGAGUGCUGGGAAAGUGGUCGUUGAACUAAUACAAACCUCACUUUGCUGGCAUGGCUAGGAUGUUGACUGAGAGAGUCUGACGAUUCUGCAGUGCCGGCCGUUACGGACAAACGUGCGAUGAGCUGUGUAAUGGUAACUGUAAGAACAAUGAGACAUGUGACAACUACAGUGGCAAGUGCUGGAGUGGAUGUAAAGAUGGCCUUUAUGGAGACAUCUGCAACCAGACGUGUGGUCAUUGCAGGAACAUCGCCUGUGAGCAAACAAGUGGAAAAUGUCUGUCCGGAUGUUUGGAAGGCUGGAAGGGAACACUGUGCAAUACUUGUACGUUCAAAUCAAUAUGGUGGUACUAACACUGUAAUGAGUUCAAUCCUAGCAUUGCUAAGAUGAGAUAUGAAUAUAGUUAUUCUCAGAAUGAUUUGAUUGCUUCCACCUAGACACCUGAAGGAUAUAGGCAGAAAGACACAGGCUAGCCCUCUCCCUCCUGCUUAGCGGGGGAGCGGGUAUGAAGGCAUUGAAAGAAUCGAAAUUUGCAGUACAUGUACCCGUAAUCUCACUCUUUACCUGUGCUGUGCUUUGACCUAGUGAGCGAUUCUUUUGGAAAAGAUCCAACAAAUGGAGUGUGCACACCCAACCCUGGUAUAACACCUCGCGACCAUUGACCAAGAAUGUCAAGAUCUCUUUUAUCUGUGUAUGAGUCACCAACAGAGAGACACUAACAUUCAAAAAUAAAAAAUGUCGUUGAAUUGUUGAAUCCUCUGUCAGACUGUCGCUACAACUGAGCACUGCCAGAACUGGUAUUCCGUAUCACUUUUCGUCCUUGAGAAAUGAUGCCACCCCUGUCUUUGUUUCACUCCUCUAGCUCUCAAUUUCAAUACACACUCCACACACUUUUAACAUACAUUUAUCGUCGUCUCCCUGUCCAACUCAUUUCUGAUCUGUUUCUUUGUUUAUCGAAGGCUGAUGAUGACCACUACUGCGCAAAUAAUGAUAAUAAAUUUUAAAUAAAAUAAAGUAAAUGUUUGUGUCGGUGGUGAAGUGUUUGGAGAUGGCUGAUGAGGCCAGUUCGUAGUAACAGUCUCCCACAUGAUAAGCACACACACAUACAACAUAUCUCUUGCCGAUCCUCCGUCGUAGUAAUGAAACAGUCAAUGAGAUGUCAGUGCUUGGAGCAGGGAUGUGAAUGAGUAGGCCAAACAUGGUGUCGGUGAUGACCAGUUCAUGCAAUUCAGUGUAAGUGUCUUCAGUGUCUUCAACAGCAAGAGACCAUCACCGUUACA
rnacentral:misc_RNA from 1 species